GGCGAGCUGGCUAAGUGGUCUAAGGCGCUUGAAUCAUAAUCAAGAUAUCGCAGGUUCGAAUCCUGCGCUCGCUA
rnacentral:tRNA from 1 species